rnacentral:rRNA from 1 species
GGGUGAGUAAUGCAUCGGAACGUGCCAUUGAGUGGGGGAUAACGUAGCGAAAGCUGCGCUAAUACCGCAUAUUCUGUGAGCAGGAAAGCAGAGGACCGCAAGGCCUUGCGCUCUUUGAGCGGCCGAUGUCAGAUUAGCUAGUUGGUGAGGUAAAGGCUUACCAAGGCGACGAUCUGUAGCGGGUCUGAGAGGAUGAUCCGCCACACUGGAACUGAGACACGGUCCAGACUCCUACGGGAGGCAGCAGUGGGGAAUUUUGGACAAUGGGGGCAACCCUGAUCCAGCCAUGCCGCGUGAGUGAAGAAGGCCUUCGGGUUGUAAAGCUCUUUCGGCCGGGAAGAAAUCGCAUGGGCCAAUACCCUGUGUGGAUGACGGUACCGGAAUAAGAAGCACCGGCUAACUACGUGCCAGCAGCCGCGGUAAUACGUAGGGUGCGAGCGUUAAUCGGAAUUACUGGGCGUAAAGCGUGCGCAGGCGGUUUUGUAAGACAGGCGUGAAAUCCCCGGGCUUAACCUGGGAACUGCGUUUGUGACUGCAAGGCUAGAGUACGGCAGAGGGGGGUGGAAUUCCACGUGUAGCAGUGAAAUGCGUAGAGAUGUGGAGGAACACCAAUGGCGAAGGCAGCCCCCUGGGUCGAUACUGACGCUCAUGCACGAAAGCGUGGGUAGCAAACAGGAUUAGAUACCCUGUAGUCCACGCCCUAAACUAUGUCAACUAGGUGUUGGGUGGGUAAAACCAUUUAGUACCGUAGCUAACGCGUGAAGUUGACCGCCUGGGGAGUACGGCCGCAAGGUUAAAACUCAAAGGAAUUGACGGGGACCCGCACAAGCGGUGGAUGAUGUGGAUUAAUUCGAUGCAACGCGAAAAACCUUACCUACCCUUGACAUGCCAGGAACUUGCCAGAGAUGGCUUGGUGCCCGAAAGGGAGCCUGGACACAGGUGCUGCAUGGCUGUCGUCAGCUCGUGUCGUGAGAUGUUGGGUUAAGUCCCGCAACGAGCGCAACCCUUGUCGUUAAUUGCCAUCAUUUAGUUGGGCACUUUAACGAGACUGCCGGUGACAAACCGGAGGAAGGUGGGGAUGACGUCAAGUCCUCAUGGCCCUUAUGGGUAGGGCUUCACACGUCAUACAAUGGUCGGUACAAAGGGUUGCCAAGCCGCGAGGCGGAGCCAAUCCCAGAAAGCCGAUCGUAGUCCGGAUUGCAGGCUGCAACUCGCCUGCAUGAAGUCGGAAUCGCUAGUAAUCGUGGAUCAGCAUGUCACGGUGAAUACGUUCCCGGGUCUUGUACACACCGCCCGUCACACCAUGGGAGCGGGUUCCGCCAGAAGUAGGUAGCCUAACCGCAAGGGGGGCGCUUACCACGGCGGGGUUCGUGACUGGGGUGAAGUCGGAACAAGGUA